rnacentral:tRNA from 1 species
GGGGCUGUAGCUCAGUGGCAAAGCGCUUGCCUAGCAUGCAUGAGGCACUGGAUUCGAUCCUCAGCACCA